UACGGGGGGAGCAAGCGUUGUUCGGAUUUACGUGGGCGUAAAGGGCGCGUAGGCGGCCACCGCAAGUCGACUGUGAAAUCUCCGGGCUUAACUCGGAACGGUAGAUGAUACUGCUUUGCUAGAGUGCGGAAGGGGCAAUCGGAAUUCUUGGUGUAGCGGUGAAAUGCGUAGAUAUCAAGAGGAACACCCUGAGGUGAAGACGGGUUGCUGGGCCGACACUGACGCUGACAGCGCGAAAGCCGGGAGCAAACGGG
rnacentral:rRNA from 1 species